CUGAAUAGGGCGUUAAGUUGCAGGACGUAGACCCGAAGCCAGGUGAUCUAUCCAUGGUCAGGUUGAAGCGUGGGUAAAGCCACGUGGAGGACCGAACUCACUAAUGUUGAAAAAUUAGGGGAUGAACUGUGGAUGGGGGUGAAAAGGCCAAUCAAACCUGGAGAUAGCUGGUUCUCCCCGAAAUAUAUUGAGGUAUAGCCUCGUGUGAUUCGCGCUGGAGGUAGAGCACUGAAUGGGCUAGGGGUCCCACAGGAUUACCAAACCCAACUAAACUCCGAAUGCCAGCGACGUCAGCACGGGAGUCAGACUGCGGGAGAUAAGUUCCGUGGUCGAGAGGGAAAGAGCCCAGACUGCCAGCUAAGGCCCCCAAGUGUAUGCUAAGUGGAAAAGGAUGUGGGGACACAUAGACAACCAGGAGGUUGGCUUAGAAGCAGCCAUCCUUAAAAGAAAGCGUAAUAGCUCACUGGUCAAGUGGCUCUGCGCCGAAAAUCCAACGGGGC
rnacentral:rRNA from 1 species